UGACGGGGGCCCGCACAAGCGGUGGAGCAUGUGGUUUAAUUCGAAGCAACGCGAAGAACCUUACCAGGUCUUGACAUCCUUUGACCACUCUAGAGAUAGAGCUUCCCCUUCGGGGGCAAAGUGACAGGUGGUGCAUGGUUGUCGUCAGCUCGUGUCGUGAGAUGUUGGGUUAAGUCCCGCAACGAGCGCAACCCUUAUUGUUAGUUGCCAUCAUUUAGUUGGGCACUCUAGCGAGACUGCCGGUGACAAACCGGAGGAAGGUGGGGAUGACGUCAAAUCAUCAUGCCCCUUAUGACCUGGGCUACACACGUGCUACAAUGGGAAGUACAACGAGUUGCGAAGUCGCGAGGCUAAGCUAAUCUCUUAAAGCUUCUCUCAGUUCGGAUUGUAGGCUGCAACUCGCCUACAUGAAGCCGGAAUCGCUAGUAAUCGCGGAUCAGCACGCCGCGGUGAAUACGUUCCCGGGCCUUGUACACACCGCCCGUCACACCACGAGAGUUUGUAACACCCGAAGUCGGUGAGGUAACCUUUUUGGAGCCAGCCGCCUAAGGUGGGAUAGAUGAUUGGGGUGAAGUCGUAACAAGGUAGCCGUAUCGGAAGGUGCGGCUGGAUCACCUCCUUUCUAAGGAA
rnacentral:rRNA from 1 species